rnacentral:rRNA from 1 species
UACGAAGGGGGCUAGCGUUGCUCGGAAUUACUGGGCGUAAAGCGCACGUAGGCGGUCUUUUAAGUCGGGGGUGAAAUCCUGGAGCUCAACUCCAGAACUGACUUCGAUACUGGAAGACUUGAGUCCGGGAGAGGUGAGUGGAACUGCGAGUGUAGAGGUGAAAUUCGUAGAUAUUCGCAAGAACACCAGUGGCGAAGGCGGCUCACUGGCCCGGUACUGACGCUGAGGUGCGAAAGCGUGGGGAGCAAACAGG